AUGGCCGAAUGCUUCAAUAGGGUGCUCAAAGGUGCACGUGGAUUACCUGUGACGGCAAUAGUUCAAUACACAUUUGACAAGAUGAAUGCGUACUUUGUAAAGUACUCGAUGGAAACCAAUGCACAGAUAGCGGGUGAGAACCCACGGAAGUACAAGUACAAGUUCCCACCCAAAGUUGAUGAAUGGUUGGUAUUUCAAUCACGGAAGGCGGACUCAGAAGAAGCUAUAUUAUAUGACAACGAAGAGUGGAAGUACGAAGUGAAAGAGCCAGGAGGAACCACAAACGAUGGUCGGCAACAUGGAGGUCGGGCUUUCAAGGUGUCGUUAACACAAUGUGAUUGCACUUGCGGGAGGCCAUUGUUGCUUCAUCUCCCAUGCUCACACUUGUAUGCCGCCGGUCGCGUUAGGAAUGUGGACAUCAAUCACCCACGCACCGUGAGGGAGUCGGAGUUCUCAAUCAUGACAUCCUCUACUUUGUUGUUGCAAGUUUUACGUGGCUGCAACGGGCUUAGCAAGAACCGUUCUUACCUACGCAUCAAAACCACAACGAUAGUUUGUCAAGUUGGUGCUGUUUUAACCUUCGCAAGGACCGGGCGUAGCCACACUCGGUUCAACUGA
rnacentral:rRNA from 1 species